CGUUAUUAUCUAGCAUAUAUAUAUCUUGAUAUAUAGUGUUGAGCCUAGCAUCAUGUUGUUCAGUUACACUCUACUCGGUUGUUCUCUUUAUAUCAUGAGUAGGAGUAGAGUAGUUAUACCAUAUUUCUCUGUUGCUCUACUUAGCUAUCUGCAUACCCUGUUUCAUAUUUAUAGUAGAGCGAUUCUGUGAUUAUCUGUGAGAUUAGCGAUCUAGUCGGUCGAUUCUAGUAUUCAGUAUUUGUGACCUAUUCGGUGAGUUCCUCGACCUUUGUUGUCUGAUGACCGUUGAGGUCGGUAUACCCUGAGGGGUGGGAUUGUCGGUUAGUUGCCGACGGAUGAUUAUACUUUACUCAUAUCCUAUACUUGUGACAUGAUUGGUCGAGUUUCAUACCUUAUACUUGUGACGUGAUUGGUCGAGUUUCAUAUCCUAUACUUGUGACAUGAUUGGUCGAGUUUCAUAUCCUGUACUUGUGACGUGAUUGGUCGAGUUUCAUAUCCUAGUUGAUCUGAGUGGUCAGUCCUUGUGGUUCAUUGAGCAGUAUUUGCAUAUGUUUGAGAGGAUGUAGAUGUUGUCCCAUCCUAGUUGACCUGAGUGGUCGGUUCUUGUGCUUCUUUACAGUUGACGACCUAUGCGGUCGAUGGGCCCUGGGGGGCAGGAUUGUCGGCUGGUUGCCGACGGUUGAUCAUUGAGAUUAUUGUAUUGAUCGCCCGAUACUCGUCGCAUUUCACGAACACUGGCGGUCUGAUCCACCGCAAGGAGUGUUCUUUUUCGGAAAAGUGGUUGAAUGGUGACAACCCAUGAGCCCUAGAGGGGUUAUAUGCACUGGAGAGUAGUAGUGGCAUUGGCUUGAGGUCUGCGGUGCUGACCAAGAGAGCAUUGGUUUCAGAUUGUGUACUUUUGAACUUCUUGACCGGUUGACGCAUAUGUCUAUACUAGCAGUCGUUGCAUGCAUAGUUACAGUUCUUACUUUAUAGUUGUUUUGCUACUAUAGUAGAUAUUCAUGUAUACUUUUGGUUCCAGUUACAGUAGCGGUAGCCGUUAUUCAGUCUAGUUCUUACUUUCUGUCAGUUUAUUGCUACUGUAUUUAGUAUAUCUGCUCAUUACCUUACAUCUCUUUCGUUUACUAUUGUUCCUACUGUAUUUUCACUGACCCGUGUUGUUGUAUAGCUCUUCCUGAUCCGGUGAGUACUCCUCGCCUUCUUCGGCUUGCGGUACCCACUGGGAGGGGAGACAUGUUUACAAGUUCUCACCUCCCCCACCAUUUUUCAGGUAUCGCAGGCGUUGUGUAUUGGGACGAGACGCGAGAUACGUACGUAGCGGUCGAUAGAGCUUCCGACCCAGGUUAUUUCGGUAUAGUUAUUACCCUUAUUAUUUCGGUUGUUAUAGCUUAGAUAGUUAUAUGGUUCAGUAUUUUUAUUACAUUUGAAAAUAUGGAUUUUCGUGAAUGUAAUAAACGGAUUUCUGGAUUUUGUAAAAUAAAAAGUUUUCUACCCCUCGUGGUAGCGUUUUUUUUAAAGAAUAAAGGUUUCCAUGUAGGAAACAGCUUUCAAAAGGUUUUCUGUGAUUUUAUAUCGUAGUAUUUCAAAAUCUGUUUCUGUAGUUGAAAACAUUUUAACUGAUAGAUGUGGAUUUAUGUUUAAAUGUUGAAUGCAUAAAUGUGAAUCUGUGGUGAAUAGUGUAUGAAUAUAUAUAUAACGGUUGGUUAUUUGUAUGUUCAUUUGUUGUGGUUGUGCCUGGGUGAUUUCUUGUACUUGUGCGACGCCGUGCAAAUACAGGGGAGACUCUGUCCGUGUGAACAGUGGAUUCCCUGUGUUUGUGGCGGAUCUGGCAUACUCUGGGGUCAGGCUUUUCAAAAAAAAAAAAAAAAAAAAAAAUCAGACGCUUUUCCGCUAUGUUUUAAACUAAAAGGGACCCCGGGGCGUGACAGCCGUCCUCAUCACCUAUUCCAAUUCUCCCAAUUUUGCACCUACACCAACACACCUAGGAAAAAAGAAGAAGGAAAUAAGAAAAAAAAUAAAAAAUAAAAAAUAGAAGGAAUAAGAGUACAGAUAAGCAGGAAACAGAGAAGAGGGAGAAGAGUAACAAAAGAAAAAAAGAAAAAAAAAAAGAAAGGGAGCAUGCAUGCCCCUCUCUUCUAUUCUCCAACAUUUCCACUCGAUUCCCAUCACCGCCUCUUCUCUCUCUCUCUAUCUCUCUCUCUCUCUCGCAUGCGCGCGCGGCCAUGGCGAAGCAUCAGAUCCCGACGAUCUCCGCCGCUGCCGCCACCGUGGUGGUGGCGGCGCUGCUGCUUUGCGUGCUCCCCUCGCACGUGCGCGGUAGGCGUGACCUCAAGCGAGGGUUCGUGGUCUGGGGCCGUGUCUUCUGCGAUACGUGCCGCGCCGGGUUCGAGACCCCCGCUACCACGUACGUCGCCGGUGAGUUUUUCCUCUUGGGUUUUCUUUUCCUCUUUUUUUUUUGUUUUUAAUGAAUGAUAAGGAGAGAGAGAGAGGGGGGCUAAGAUAGAGAGGAGAAGGAAAGAGAGAGAGAGUAGGGGAGAGGAGGAGAGAGAGAGAGAGAAAGAGGGAGCCAGCUGGAAAGGCUUUUCUUGGGAAAGAGAGAGCAGUCUUGAAAAUUCCCAAAAAUAUCUUGAAAAAAGAGAGAAUUUUCUUGAAAAAAGAGCUGAUCCAAGCUGCUGGACCACCCUUGGAAAGGAGCCAAGAAGCUAAGGGAUUGCCACGUAUGCCUCAAAAAACUAUCAAAUUGUUAGAUAUGUCUCGAAUUCUAGUACCGCAAGGUUUUCUAUCCCUAUUCUAUUUUGAUUAUCUCAUUAAGUUAAGUUUAGAUUUUGAGAUAUUCCUAAUCUUAGUGGGUUUGUAUUCCUAAUCGUAUUAGGAUUUAGCCACUAUUAUAAAUAUACCCUUUCUGCUAUUGAUUUACUGCGGAAGAUGAGAGAGGGAAUAUGGGUGUAUUUUUUGGGAUUAGGGUUUUGUGAGAGAAGCAUAUUUUGUACGCCACUUUAAUUAUAAUGAAGAUCUCCGCUUCGUCUUCGCCCAUGGACGUAGGCCGUUGGCCGAACCACGUAAAUAUUCUGUGCUUUAUUUUUCUUCUCUCUUUCUCGGAUCUCUUUUGGUAUUUUCGCAUCCGACGAACUAGAUCUUCUCGGUUUUAGUUCUAACACAAAUUAUGUAUGAAAAAAGAGAAAGAAUUUUCUUGAAAAGGAGCUGGUCCAAGCUGCUGGACCUAGAGAUGUCAACGGGUCGGAUUCGGGGCGGAUUUUUGAAAACCCGAAUCCGAACCCGACUCCAAACCCGAGACCCGAACCCGAACCCGAACCCGACGGAUUUUAAAAAUCCAUAUCCAAACCCGAACCCGACCAAAAAUCCAAAACCCGAACCCGAACCCGAACCCGAAAAUUUGAACCCGAAACAAUUAUUUCUUUUUUCAAUAUUUCAAAAUAUAUUAUAUUAAAUCUAAAAUUUUAAAAUACAAAUUCAAAUAUAACAUUAAAUUUUUAUAUAUAUAUUAUAUAUAAUACAAAAUAAAUUCGGGUUCAGGUCGGGUUGGGUUCGGGUCGGAUUCGGGUUCGGGUCGGGUACAAUCAAAAUCCAUAUCCGAAUCUAUAUCCGUCGGGUUUCUAUUUUUGAUAUCCAUAUCCGAAUCCAUAUCCAUAUCCAUCGGAUAUAUCCGUUUCAUUCGGGUUCAGGUUCGGAUAAAAUUUCGGGUAUCCAUACCCAUUGACAUCCCUAGCGACCACCCUUGGAAAGGAGCCAAGAAGCUAAGGGAUUGCCACGUAUGCCUUAAAAAACUGUCAAAUUAUGUAUUUGUAAGGAUGAUUUUGUAACAUCUUAAAAUUUAGAUUGUGUGAAGUUCGAACCGCUUAGACUGUAUUUAAAGUAUACAAGUGUUACUUUUACGUUUUUUAAUGCAUCUUUCACCAUGUAAUUUUCAGAAGAGCAAUCCAAGACUAGGUAUAAGAUCUACAACCUACUCACCCAAAGGCCAUUAGGUUCGUACUAAUCUUAUCAAUUUUUUUUUUGUUUAAUACUAAAAAUUUUAAAAGUUUUUAAUUUGAACCCUUGGAUGAAAGAGGAUUAAAAUUUACACCUAUAAUAGAGCGUCGAGGUAGCAUUUAUCUUUAACAAAGUAAUCUAGCUUUAGUUGGGCAAACUGUGUACUCGGUGGAAAGAUAAAGAUGCAUGGGUGACCCCCUUAAUGAUUAUGCCAUUUUGAACAUUUCGAAACUCUCAUAAUUUUUUAUUUUUAAAAUUGAGCGAGUUUCAUCAAAAACAUUUGGAAAUGUUAUCAAAUUAAUUUAUUGGUAAUUUCACCAAAUAUAUUGACCUUAGUUAUUUUUUAGCGAAUAAAAUUAGACCAGCCAGCAAUUAAUACGCAAUAGAAUCAUUAAAUUAAAUGAAAUUUUUAACUUAACUGAGUAUAAAAUAUUAAAAAAAAUAGAAGUGGAAGAGGUCUCGGUAAUGGUUGAAACAUCUUAUUUCAAAAUGAAAUGACCUGUAGUUGAGGGCGUCUCCAUAUAUACAAUUUUUUCAUUCAUAAAAGUUAUGAUUUCAGUAACCUAGCUAGCUAUUAAAUUAUUAUGGUAUCACUCUAGAAUUAAGAAUGAAAAAUGUAACUUUUGAUACUUUGCGUGCUAUAUGUGUGUAGUAAUUUAUGCAGUACAAGUGGAGUACCCGCGCUUCGCGGCGGGAAAUUUUGACGCUAAAAUUUAAUUUUAAAGCUUAUAAUAUAUAAGUAAAUAUUUUUGAUAUAAUAGUUUACAAAUGUGAAAGGAAGGAUCAGUGUAUAGUAGAAAUCUAAAAUAUCGACGCAAGUUAGGUUCAAAUUUUGUUAGAAUUGGGGAUUUAAGGGUUGGCUAAUGAGAUUUAGCCAUUUGAAGGAAAAAGAUACGGUGACCUCGCUGCUUACGCCAACGAUCAUUCGGUCGGAGAGAUCCGAUGGUUAUUGAUUUGGGUUUGGGGCGGAUACAGUAAAAAAUGUAUAUCCGAAUUUGUAUCAGUUAGGAUUAUAUAUUUGAUAUUCAUAUUCGAAUACAUAUCUUUUUAGCAUCAGAUAUAUCGGGUUUAUUCGAUUUUGGGUUCGGAUAAAAUUGUAGGCAUAAAAAAUUUAGAACGGACAUUAUACAAUCUAGAAUGCAAAUUUAUAGAAAAUGUUGCUUAUGUUCGACAAUCGGUUCGUAGGUCUGGUUGGUAUUUCCUUCAUAGUUAGAAGAUUUGUACCAUAUUAGUACAGGUAGGUAAUUCGAUCUGAAGUCGGUACAGAAAACCAAGUAUACCUUUAUGUUGCAUAAAACAAAAGGAGAAAACUCCAUUGUUAAUACUAAAAAAAUGGCGUAAUAUAACUUUCUUCUGUAUAACCAAAUAUACUCUAUUGUAAAUGGGCAUCUUCUUGUAACUUUAUUUUGGUGGAAUGUGAUUGCACUAUAAUAGUAGAUGUCUUGGCGGCUUGUUUUCACUUUACUACCCUUUUGUCGGGACUUGUAAAGUGAAGAGUUCUUUUUUUGUUUGUUUGUUUUUCGUUUCUUGGAAUUUUAAUGCGAUAGCGCACUUGAAGGUUAGAUGACAGUAUGAAGUUGUAUAUAUAUAUAUAUAUAUAUAUAUAUAUAUAUAUAUAUAUAUAUAUAUAUAUAUAUAUAUAUAGUGUUCCUGAGUUUUGGAUAGGAUUGGCUUCAGUAUUAGUGACUGGUCGACAUCUCUGGAGAGUGUCGGACUGAGUCGGAGUCAAUUCCGCACGAAUUGGAUGCAGAAUUGGACUCGACGCACUCAAAUAAGCAAAACUGGAGUUUUGCUAGAUUCGGGCGCCCAGAACAUUUUUAGGGUCGCCCAGAAACGAGUGUUGAAUUUAACUGAACUGGAAGCCAAUUCGGAUCCCAUGUUCCGGGCGCCCAGAUGUGGGUCCGGAAAUUCGACAUCGUGAAUAACGCUUGCUUCGACGUGUGGCAGGGCGGUAGGUGAGUUCCGCCGGAGCCAUUUACGGGCACAGCACACCGCGAGCGGAGAGUCCGAGGAGCCCGUUUUGUACAGUCUGGAUGUUCUGGUCGCCUAGAACAUGGUUCCGGGCACCCAGAAACGCCCGUUUCUGCAGGGACACUGGAUAGCAGCUGUUUUUCCUGGGGCUUAUUUUAUCCCUCCAGCAGCCUAUAAAUACCUAGUAAACGCCCCUUUGCUGCUCUUUUCCUCCCUUCUUCACAGAGAAGUCCCUUUAGCAUCUCAAACACUCGGGUUUGCCCCAAUUUGAUUCAAACUUCCAUUGAUCCAGCUUGAUGGAGUUCUGAUUCUACAGUUUUUUAGCGACGACCUCCAGUGUUUUGGCUCGUGCGCGAUGUAGGAAGGUCGGAUUUUGACAAAACUUGGUUUGCUGGAUUCUAGACUUCCAGAGGAAUCCACGAAGCCCUGAAUUGUAGAUUUUGGUUGAGGUUAGCUUGGACGAACUGAGAUUUUUCUGGACUGCUGUUGACUUUGAGCUGAAAAUAGGAUUUUUGAGCUUUUCUUAAUGCUAUCUUUGUUGGCAGUGGGAUUUUGGACCUGAGAUUGAUCACCCAUCAGUAGUUACUGGAUUUGGAUCUGUCCUCACCCGAAUUGGAGAUCAUUAGGUGAGUUUUGAUAUUGAAUUUAGAUAAAUCCUAAGCUUAAGUGCUGAAAUUGAUGGUUUUUAUUAGAUUUUGGGUGAAUUCUAAUGUCCAGAUCUUGAGGGGCUUUAUUGCUGGUUUGGAGGUGUUUCCAGCAGUGUUGCUUGUGAUCCGAGACCCUCUUACUGCCAGGAAUUUCACUAGAGGUGGGUUAUCAUCGGUUUCGCUCCUAAGUGCAUGUUUAGUCGACGUGUAUAGUUCGGUUCUUGUAUAUCAUGUUUUAAUUCAUCGAUUAGCAUCUUGAAUGUAAUAUGAAUGUAGAACCAUGCUGAAAUAAAUAUUUAUAUUAUACAUGUUGGACUUGAAAUUUGACUUAGGAGAAAACCUGCGUUUUGACCCGUCAUAUGCUUAAACUACCAGAUUUAGCUCUAGGAGCCCUGGUUCGAUUGUAUCGUUGCAGUAUCAGUGCGAUGGAUACCUGGGGUAGUUUAGAAGGCAUUUACGCUCGUGCUGGGGUGCCGAGCUUAUUUUUCAGCAGGGUUUAGGUUGUUUCGGGUCGUUGGGUACCGUUCGGGUUAGCGGUGGACCCAGAUUCUUGUUUUGGUCACAGAUUGUGCCGAGGGCACGUGGGUUUGGUUUGUAGACCUGUUUUGACCCUGUUCACUUGACUUUGGCUAGUUGGAGCUAUUUGAGCUCGACAGAGAUACACUGCAUACUCGGUUGGGUAGCGCCCUGUGACGCCCCAACUUCCCAGGGGGUCACCCAUCCUAGGACUACUCCCGUCCUAGCACGCUUAACUCUUUUAACCUCUUGGGUCUAGCCACCACCCAAAAUGCUUAAGCCGGGUUUAGAGUUUUAGUCCUAUUAUAUCUCAUAUAUAGGACUAUCUGUGGUCUCACAAUCUCCCAGCCUUUAAGCCCUGACGUCCUCGUCAGGCUCAGACUCACAAGUACCAGGCGAUGUGAGACUCAUCUCGCUAGCCCGUCAUCCAGACCCUGGCUCAGCCGAGACUCAUCUCACACUUCCGGCUGGUAAUUGGCUCUGAUACCAUCUGUGACGCCCCAACUUCCCAGGGGGUCACCCAUCCUAGGACUACUCCCGUCCUAGCACGCUUAACUCUCUUAACCUCUUAGGUCUAGCCACCACCCAAAAUGCUUAAGCCGGGUUUAGAGUUUUAGUCCUAUUAUAUCUCAUAUAUAGGACUAUCUGGGGUCUCACACGCCCACGAGUGCCACUCCAGAGUCAGGCUUUGUGCUUUCGCGUUGGUGUCGCUCAUGCCGGUUGGACUUACUCUCCACGGAUCAGUUAGUGUGGAUAGAGCUGGAUAGUUGCAACUGGGCAGGGACGGGUGUGUUCACAGUCCCAGGGACGGGUAUGUCUACAGUCCCGAUUGGAUUUGGUCAGAUUUGACAUUUCCUACAGUCGGUUAGUGUAGAGCAUGAUAGUGUAGUGAUCCAUAGCGGUAGAUUUUAUUCCUGUAUUUACUACUAUUCUUGCUCCCUUCUGUAAACUUAGUGGGUGGACCGAUGUUGUUUUGGGCGGUACCCACUGAGAACUACUUAUUUUUACAGUAGUUCUCACGCCCAGUUGUUACCCCGUUUUUGCAGAGCCUUCGUCUUUGGCUGCUGCUAUUGCUGAUCAGGAUCGAGGCAAGGGCGUCGCGAGUUAGAGCCCUACCCGACGAGCCGAGCUAGAGGUGCCCUUCUGCAGGUAGUUGUUUUGUUGGAGUUUAUGUACUUACCUAUCUUUAACUCGCCAGUGCGGGUAGUUUUGUAUCUUGGAGUUUGGUAUAUGUAUAUGGAACUCGGUUUGGUUUUCUUCUAGUUCUUCUAGCAGCUCUAUACUACUGUUUGUAGUAUUGUAUGUUUUACAGGUACAGCUGUCGUUUCGUAUACAGGGAAAAUUUCUUCGUAUACGGCGGAUUUGUCGGCGUGCCGGGGGAACGUGUAAUCCGGGGCGUGACAGAUUAAGUUGGUAUCAGAGCUUAGCAUUAGGUUGUUAGGACCUAGAGAACCCAAGUUUGGCAAACCUUAGGAAAGCAAGACGCGAGAGGCGUGAUUUAUCGCGAAAGUCAACGAUUUGUUGUUCUAACUCCUCCUAGAGUGGAGUGAGUGAUUGGAGGAGUUCCUGUUUUGUCCUGAAAAAUUAUGUUGGCUGCAGACGACAUAAUUUUGGGGAGAAACAGGGGGCCGCCUUCUAAACUUUCGUUUGAUUGGGUCGAGAGUGUUUUAUUGUAUCUGACCCCUAUUUUGUUCUUUGCUGCUAUGUAUCGUCGCCGAGGACGACCGUCGUUGGGGGAGCGUGCGCAGUUGGCGCAGGAUCGUGCGGGUAGUUUUGUAUCUUGGAGUUUGGUAUAUGUAUAUGGAACUCGGUUUGGUUUUCUUCUAGUUCUUCUAGCAGCUCUAUACUACUGUUUGUAGUAUUGUAUGUUUUACAGGUAUAGCUGUCGCUUCGUAUACAGGAGAAAUUCCUUCGUAUACGGCGGAUUUGUCGGCAUGCCCGGGGAACGUGUAAUCCGGGGCGUGACAAUAUAUAUAUAUAUAUAUAUAUAUAUAUUAUAGAAGUUCUAAUUUUCUAUUUUUUUUUUAAUAAAUGAAUGAAUAAUUAGUCAGAAAAUUGUGAAAUAUGAAAGUUUUGAGGAGCCCAAGGAUCUAUCUAGAUUGUAUCUAUCACCUAGAGGGGGGGUGAAUAGGUGUAAUGGCCAAAAACCACAAAUCUCGAUGCAAUAAAAAUAAAUGCAGAAAAUAAAAAACACACCGAGAUUUACGUGGGAAAAAUCCAAUUUGGAGAAAAAACCCACGGGACCAACACGCGAAAAAACAAUCCACUAAGAGAAAAGAUUACAAGGUGAUUUACCGACUCUACGAACUCAACCUCUCUUGACCUCCUAUGGAUCUCGCGCAAUCCUCUGGGUUGUCCACGCCCUCACGUCCGAAUCCACGAACGCCUCCACUUCGAAUCCACGAAGCUUCAAUCACGCCGAAUCCACGACGCCACUCGAAUCCACGAGCCCACGAUCCGAAUCCACGAACCGCCGUCAAACACGCCGAAUCCACGACGCCGUCAUGAAGAUCAUCAUGAUUAUGGUGAUCCUUCGCUUAGGAGUAUCGUAGAAAACCAGAGAAAGAAACUCCAAGCGAAGCGGAGAUCAAAUCGGCAUAUAGAUAUGAAGUUUCAAUAUCCCGAUUUGACCUAAAAGAGGCUUUAUGUAGAAAAUAGGUUUUAGAUGAAAUCCGAGCCUCUAGGGUUUCUCAAACAUGUAUUUUCGUGAUGCUUAAUGAGUUAGAGAACCCCAAUAGCUUAUUUAUAGACUUUAGAAUCAAUUGGAGUCGGAUUAGAAAGUUUUCACGAUUUUACACUUUGUACGGGUACGCGAAAUGCUGUCACCGGUUACACAAUGACGGAACAAAUUUUCGAAGCCAAAGUUGAUGGCUGUACCGGUACGGGCUUGAUUGCUGUACCGGUACACAAUGCAAUUUUUGGGAUUUUGCAUUGUUUCGAGUUCCGUACACUUCCGAAGCACUUUCUAAUCAACUAAACUUUUGAUUAAAUGAUUCUAAUGCCUAUAACUAAGUAUGAAUCACCAUAACAUGAAUUAAAACUUUACCUAACCAUCGUGAUUCACGUCGUGAGGUAUUUACUGUUUUUUUUCCAAAAUCUUGAAUUCUUUGAUCUUUGUCAAUUCGCUUCGAUUCUUCAAGACUUCGACUUACUUCACGAAACUUGCCAAUACAAAAUCCUUAACAUCUGUCACGCCCCGGGACCCAGCGGAAGCCCGCCCGGCGCGUGCCCAGACCCGCCAUACGUCCAAAACAUAUAAGGCGUCUAAAAAACAACAAUAAAUAAAGCGGUAAUACAAGAAACUAGGAGUAUCAGAGCAUGAUAUAAAACUAAGUUCUACAAUAAAGAAAGGAGGAUAAAACUGGAAUUCACUAAUAAAAGCAUAAGAUAAUACAAAGAAAAUCCCAAAUACAAGUGCUAAAGGUAGAUACAUAGGUGGUCUCUAUACAUGGAUACAAAAUCUCUCACUCUCUCACAACUACAAAAGAAAGAGCAAACCACCUAGGCAAGAACCGCUCCUCGCUAGCUAGCUAUGCGAUCCCCUUGCCGCGAUCCCAUGCCUCCGCCGGUGCAGAAGGCUCUGAAAGAAAACCAAAAAACGGGGGCGUGAGAACUAUUAAAAAUAGUUUCCAGUGGGCAAUUACUGACUUCAGUGAACUGCGCCACAAGGCCCAAAAGCUACGAAAAGAGGUCAGUGACUAACCAUGUAGUAAAGCGAAAGGUAAGUAAAAUGUAACUUACUAUAACAUAGAGUCUCUACUUGGCAUGAUUUGCGUAAGUAAUAAAGCAACGAUAUCAUAAAUGUACAUGGAUGUGUAUGACAUGCAUAAGCAUAGAAAUGCAACCAAUCCGAUGUCCUCGAUGCAAAAAUAGUAAAGAUGUCAUUAUUUACUAUUCUAGUCCAAGUCCACUUUAAUAGUUUUAAAGUUCACAUAGCAUGUUCUGUCACUAAGUUCCAAUCAUAUAAGACCCACCCGAAGGCUGUCUGGCCUGCGCCGUGCCUAAUGGCCCCGUGGUAGUCAACAUCCCCACUCUAGGGAUGAGCCUUCCCCACGGCAAUCCACUUCGGCGCCCAAUCCCACACGGGCGAGUAUAUGUCGCGAUGGCUAUCUCCGGAGUGCCGGAGAGUGCCAGCUUGUAGGGAGCGACCCUCACAAGCAUGUGCGAAAGAGCACAAUAGCAAGCAAGCAAUGAUCUGUCUCAAGUACCAAGUUCUCAUGUCUAAAACAUGGAAUAUAUCAAGUAUCUUAGUAGCCUAUCUGUCACGCCCCGGAUGUCUCAUUCCCCGGGCACGCCGACAAAUCCGCCGUAUACAAAGGAAUUUUCCCUGUAUACGAAGCGUCAAAGUACCUGUAGAAAUACAAUACUACAAACAGUAGCAUAGAGCUGCUAAAAAAAAAAAGCUAAAUAUCUGAGUUUCAUAUACAUAGCUAGAAUCCAAAAUACAAGGCUACUCGCACUGGCGAGUUAAACAACUAUGUACAUAAACUCCAAAACAAAACUACCUGCAGUAGGGGAAAGCCUCUAGCUCUGACUGUCGGGUAGGGCUCUAGCUCGCAACGCCAUUGCCUCGAUCCUUAUCGGCAGAAGAUGCAGCAGCCGGCACCUGUGGCUCUGCAAAACAUAAGUAACAACUGGGCGUGAGAACUACUGUAAAAACAAGUAGUCCUCAGUGGGUACCGCCGAAAACGACAUCGGUCACCCACUAAGUCUACAGAAGGGAGCAAGGAUAGAAGGAAAAGCAGGAAGUACACUCUACCGCUAUCAUCCACUACACUAUCAUGCUCUACACUAACCAACUGUAGGAAAUGUCAAAUCUGACCCAAUCCAAAUCGGGACUGUAAGCAUACCCGUCCCCGGGACUGUGAAUACACUCGUCCCUGCCCUGUUGCGACUAUCGAGCUCUAUCCACUCUAACUAGUCCGUGGAGAGCAAGUCCAACUGGCAUGAGCGACACCAACGCGAAAGCACAAGCCUGACUCCGGAGUGGCACUCGUGGGCGCUACCCAACCGAGUAUGCAGCGUAUCUCUGUCGAGCUCAAACAGGCUCUGGAAAGCCAAAGUCAAGAAACCGACUCUAAACUAGUCUAACAACCAACAGGUAACGUGCCCUCGGCACAAUCUGACGUCAAAAAGGCGAUACGGGUCCACCGUCAACUCUGACGGCACCCAACAGUCCGAAAUAACCUGAACGAUCCGGUAAAAAUCCACUCGGCGAACCAGCACGAGUGUAAAUAUAUUCUAAACUAUCUGGAGUACUCGUCUCGACAAUACUGCGACAGUACAAUUAUCUAACGGCUCCUAGAGCUAAAUCAGGCAGUUUAUACAGGUGACAGGUCCAAAUCGUAGGUUUUCUCCUAAUUCAAUUUCCAAGUCCAACAUGUAUAAUCUACUUAAUUUUAAAAAAAAUAUGCUCCAAAAUUCAGAUUUCACAAUCUACAUAUAGUCCAUGAAUUUGAGCUAAAAUUAAUUACCGAAAUCAAAAUCUAUACAUGUCGACCAAUAAGAACUUAGGAGUAAAGCCGAUGUAACCCACAUAAAAUGCUAAUCCCUAGCAGCGAAGGACUCCCCCCGGUGUAGAGCAACCUGCUGGAUCACCCGGAACCCGCCGAGUACAGAAAUAGCCUAAGCCCGAGCUCUACGCAACAAAAUUCACCAAUUCAGUCCAGAAAUCGCAGCAGAGAAGGGAAGGGUUUCGACCAAGCUAACCUUCACGAAAAUUCGCAAGUAAGGGCUUCGUGGAUUCCUCUCGACGUCCUGAAUCCAACGAGCCAAGUCUCGUCACAAUCUGAUGCUCCUACGUCGAGAACAAGCCAAAAUACCAACGGUCGACGUCGAAAAACAGCAAAACGGCAUAUAAGACCAAAUCUGAUGAUACUCGAAAUAUACGCAGCAAUUCUACGGAGCACUUACUUCGCUAGACCCUCAAGAGUCGGCGCGACGUCGAGGACGACGGAAAACUACGCUCGCCCGAGCUCCUCACAGCACCACGACGACGAAGCGUGCGCCCGAACGGCUACGCGGCAACACGUCGGCGACGAAACUCCACCCGAGUUCCAACUUGCUCACAACCGGAUAGAAGAGUGGGAGAGGUGGAGAAAUGCUGCUAGAAGACCCUUCCCUCAGCCUCUCUACACGUAUAUGAAGGAGUGGGGGAGAGGGUGACAACAACGAGGUGAGGAAAUUCCCAAAAAGUCCCUCACCUACCCCCUUGUACCGGUACACGGGCUCCUGUACCGGUACAAGAGCCAACCCGAGAGCAGUUGAGCUAUUUCGCGCUGGUUGUACCGGUACAGCCACUAAGCUUGUACCGGUACAGCAAGCAGAGAAUGCUGCUGUUUUGCAAAAUUCUUCGCGAUAAGCUGCCCUCGUGUCGCACGGAGUCCGUUUUACGUCUAUUUGACGCCAACGCGACUCGGACUUGUCCCGACACUCUCCAGAGCUGUCGACAAGCCUCCACAGUCAAACACCAGGGGUCUCACACUAUCUCUAUGUCAUCAUGUCUCUAACAUGGAAUAUAGCAGAUGUACAAUGGCCUAUCAUCAUGUCUCUAAGUUGCAUUUUCAUAGUUUACUAAUUCCAAGUGCCCCUUUAUGACACUUUUGCUCAACGAGUCCCAAGCAUGGCAUUAAUAUAUUCAUGAUGCAUAGUUCACUCAAUUCUAGCAUGGAGACAUGUUCUCAACUUGCAAAACCAAGCACUAUCCACAAUGCAUGCAAUCUACACAUAUAACUCUAUUAUAUGGAGUACAAGUUUUACGAUACAUGAGGCAUGCAUGUUAAGUGUUCUAAAAUUCACAUAAAUCAUGUUUAGCAUGAAUUUGCAUUCGAGAAUACUUUACGAAAAGUUAGAAGGCAUAGGGGCCAUUUUGCCCGAUUUUCAUGAAGUCAAACUCACCAAAAUCGACUUCUUCGUUUCGCCGAACGAAGGUAUCCACAAGCUUCCUAGUACCCUAGAAACAUCAAAAAUAGGGUCACCCAAACGAAACGAAGAGCAAAUAGCUCAAUCAUUAAGCUUCUCAAGCUAGGGUUGGAGAAAACUUACCGAUUGCGAAGGAGGCUCUCACGAUCUCCAAAUGGGAGUUAGAGUCCUUCCAAUCUAACCUAAACAAAGGUUUUAAACCCAUCAAUUAGGUUCCAAAGCCCUCAAAUCAAAAAUCCCCAUUUUUAGCCCUAGAAUCCAAAAUCUAGGGUUUCAUCCAAGAGAAACCUUCAAAACUUAAUCCAAAUGGGAGAUUAAGUCUACUAACCUCACAAGAUGCUCAAAACCAAGCUCCAAGUCCUCAAGAGUUGAAGGUUGAUCUCCAAACAAGCUCCAACCAAGAUCCCAAGUUUCUCCAAUGGUGGAAAAACCCACAAAAGCAAGAAGGAGAGAAGGGAAAGAGAUCAAAACCCAUAAAAGCCACCAAAAAUGGAGAUCAAACCAAGAGGGGAAGACUCACCUUGUUUCUCUCUGUUUGGAGCUCAAGGAGAGCAGCCAAGGGGGCUGGGGUUGUAUAUAAAAGUGUUGUAACAAUUACAAAAACACCCCUCCACGAAACAGCCCCAAUCUGCACUGUGUACCGGUACACGGGAUUGUGUACCGGUACACCACCCAUGAAAAUGCAAACCCGAGCCUCGGGUUUGGCCGAAAAGCCGUCUGUGUACCGGUACGCGGGCCCGUACCGGUACAGCCAUCAACACCGUACCAGUACAGCCACCAAGCCUGUACCGGUACACAGCCUGCUGGAGGCUACCCGAGAGCUGACCAAAAAUCCAACUUUUUGGAUUUUGAUGCAAGGUUUUAAACCACAAUUCUCGGGGCUCGAACCAUAGGUCGGAACACUGUCGGCGACCCACCAGAAAGUCUGAAAAAGCUCAGAACACAAUCAAUCACUCGAACCCCGCAAUUUGCAAGGUCCAGUGCGUUACACACACACCUAGGGUUGUUCCUUGAGCUUGGAACAGCAGGGAUUGAGGUAAAGGGCUCUCCCCUCCUUCUCCUUGGAUUUGUCUUGCCUUUUGCUUGGAUUUUGGUGUUUAAUCAUCUCUUUUUGCUUCUUGGUGCAUUUUCCACCUUGGGAAAAGCUUGGAGCUUGGACUUGGAGCUUGAUUGAGGGGAGAUCUUCAACCUUGUUGGGUUAGGGCCUUAAUUGAAGCUUCUAAGAGGUUAGUAACAAGUUUCUUUCCUCUAUAUUUCUUGUUUUAAAGGUUGUUUUGAGAUGAAACCCUAAAAAUGGAAACUUACGGUGGAUUUUGGGCAUUUUUGAUUUAGGGCUUUUGGAGCUUAAUUCCUUGGAUUAGAACCUUCUUCUUGGUUGGAUUGGAAGGGUUCUAGCUCCCUUUUGAGGAUCAAUAGAGAUUAUCACCGUUUUAGAUGAGUUUUUGCCCCGUUGCUAGAUUUGGUUAAUAUUUGAGCCUAGGGCUUUACGUAACGUAUGUGUAUUUCUUCUCUUGUGACCUUUAGGGUACUAGAAAAAUUAUAGACAACUCCGUUCAGCGAUACGAAGGAGUUUUAGCGAAGUUUCGGUAGGUUUGACCUCGCCAAAAAUGAGAAAAUCUCAUUUUUGAUGAUUUGAUUAUCAUAAAAUGGGAAUUCAUGCAUUUUCAUGUUAGAUGUAUUAUUUGUGAAUUUUAGAAUGCUUAAAAUGAUUAUGUUAUAUACAAUGCAUUUUUGGACCUUUAUGUAGUAGAGAGCUUGCCUGUGGGACUUAUGCAUGGAUUUAGCAUUCUAAUUGGGACUUGGAAUCAUACUUCAUAUAGUAGACAUGACAAAUGUAAUAUGUCUUCGACAUAAAUCUCAUUUGGACAUAGGAGAAUACAUUAGGCCAUAAAGUGGCUAUGAACUUGAAUGUCAUGUGAAUUAGUGAGCUAAUGUCAUGAAGCGACAUUGAGCAUGGGUUGUAUAUGAACCUAGUGAAUAAUGCCACAAAGGGGUAUGGGAUUUGGGAUAUACUUGGAUAGAGCCAUGUUAUAGUGUCAUAAAAAGACACUAGACUUAGUGAAUGUUGGAACUUCACAUUGUGAUAUAGAACUAGACCGAUGGUUACUAGUGACUAUUACCAUGUUAGAAACAUAAUGAUUGGGUACUUGAGACGGUGACUAUGCUUGCUUGCCAUUUGUGCUUAUUCGCACAUGCUUGUGAGGGUCGCUCCCUACAAGCCAGCACUCCGGAGUUGGCCUAUGCGACUUAUGUUCGCUCGUGCGGUAUCGAAAAACCUACGAGGUCGGGAGGGAUAGACUCAUUCCUAGAGUGGGAAUGUUGGAGCUACCACCGGCACUUAAGUGGCACAAGCUGGACUACACUAGUGUAGGUCCUAAAACAAGAUUGAACAAUGACAACAAUCCAUAAAUGAUAAUCACUACUAGAUAGGGUGUAGUAGUUGGAUUACCUUGACAUGCUUAGUGCAUACUUGUGGACAUUUGAGAUAUGUAGUAUACUUAGUAAUAUCACUCAUUGCAUUAUAGUAUACUUGCUUGCCGUGUGGGAUCAUACUAGAUAUGUAUUAGACAUACUUGAUCAUAGUAGAAUGAAUGUACCAUAUGUUGUCAUCAUAUUACUUAUGGCAUAGUGCUUUCAUAUCUGCAGUUUAUUUUCGUUGCUUUUCAUAUUUACCUUAGUCUUCUAGGCCUAGUGGUGCAAUGUCCUGAGGUCAGUAAUUACCCACUGGGAACUUUAAAUUAUAGUUCUUACGCCCCCUGUUUCUUGUUUCUUUUCAGAGCCUUCUACACCGGGCGAGGCUAGGGACCGCGGAAAGGGCAUCGCCUCGAGCUAGCUCUUUUAUGAGGGACGUAUCGAUAGGUGGUCUACCUCUCAUUGGUUUUAUUUUGGAGAGGUUGAGAGUUGUACCUGUAUAGAGACCACUCAUUUUGUAUUUUGAAACUGACGAUGUAUUUACUUUAUGUUUUAUAUUAGUGGAUUAGCUUCUUUUCUCUCCACUUGUUGUUAGUAUUUUAGCUGCUGGUUGCUCUGAUAUCUCUAGUUGUCUUACUUCUUCUUGCUUUCAUCUCUCUAUUCUUGUAGACGCCUUAUAUGUGUAGGCAUAUGGCAGGUCUGGGCACGCUCCGGGCGGGCCUAUGCCGGGUCCCGAGGAGUGACAAACUCUCUGGCCCACAUCGCUCCAAUGAAUAGGAGAGCGACAGUUCUUUCCAUAAAGGGCCUCGAAUGGCAUAAUCGUGCCAUCCGCUCUUGUAAUCAAGUACACACGCUCGAAGCUUGUUCUCAAGGAUUUGUAUUGUCCUCUCCGAUUGACCAUCACUUUGAGGAUGAAAUGCCGUACUAAAGUCAAGCCGUAUGCCCAAAGUGUCUUGUAAGUUCUUCCAAAAAUGAAAUGUGAACCUAGUGUCUCGAUCCGAUACAAUAUACACCGGAACCCCAUGUAGUUUCACAACCUCGUCGAGAUAUACUUGAGCUAACUUGUCUCCCAGCCACAUGGUGUGGAUUGGCAAAAAGUGUGCUGACUUUGUUAACCGGUCCACUAUUACCCAAAUUGCAUCAUGUCCGCCUUGAGAUCGAGACAAACCAGUAACAAAGUCUAUUGCGAUGUCUUCCCAUUUCCAAACGGGUAUAGAUAAACUUUGCAAUUUUUCUGCCGGAAACCGGCGCUCCGCUUUUACUUGUUGGCACGUAAGAUAUUGCGCCACGAACUGCCCAAUAUCUUUCUUCAUGCCCGACAACCAAUAAUGCACUUUUAAAUCUUGAUACAUCUUGGUGCCGCCCGGUUGUUGCUAUAGGAAAAUUGAUGCGCUUCUUGCAUAAUCGCCUUUCGAAUGUCCUCAUCUUUAGGCACACACCAACGAUUUCGGAAUCGAAAUGCACCAUCGGUCCCAAUGCCAAAUCAUCGGCAUUACCGCUUUCAACUUCACCCCGCACCUUUUGGAGAUAUGCAUCGGAAGCUUGUAGCUCUUUAAUCUUCUCCAACAAGGUCGGUUGAACCACCAAUGCGGCUAGGCUAGCCAGCACUCCCGGAGCCACUACCUCAAGUCCAAACAGUUGCAUCUCUUUUUGCAAUAACGGUUGGGGUGUAAUUGCCGAAGCCAAGUUUUCCACCGAUUUUCUACUUAGAGCAUCGGCCACGACGUUUGCUUUUCCGAGGCAGUAUAGAAUAAUGACGUCAUAGUCCUUUAGCAACUCCAACCACCGCCGUUGUUGCAUGUUUAAUUCUUUUUGGGUGAACAAGUAUUUGAGACACUUAUGAUCCGUGUAAAUCUCACAAUGCUCACCGUACAAGUAAUGCCUCGACAACUUUAGUGCGAAUAUCAGCGCGGCUAGCUCAAGAUCAUGAAUCGGGUAGUUCUUUUCAUAACUCUUCAAUUGGCGCGAAGCAUAUGUGAUGAGUCGCCCAUUUUGCAUCAAAACACACCCGAGACCAAUAUACGAGGCAUCACUGUACACUACAAAGGUCUCCCCGGUGUCGGCAAGGCAAGUACCGAGGUUGAUGUCAACCUUUCCUUCAAUUCCUCGAAGCUCCGAUCACAAUCGUCACUCCACACAUAUUUUACUCCUUUGUGCGUGAGGCGUGUUAGUGGAGUAGUUAUUUUAGCAAACCCCUCCAUGAACCGCCGAUAAUAUCCCGCAAGUCCAAAAAAACUACGGAUCUCUGCAACACUUGUCGGGCGAGGCCAAUCCUUAAUUGCCUCGACUUUCUUUGGAUCAACUGAGACACCAUCAUCCGAUAUCACAUGGCCUAAGAAAGUGACCUUCGAAAGCCAAAAGUCACAUUUCUUCAACUUGGCAUAAAGCUUCUCUUUUCGGAGUAUUUGCAACACGGUUUUCAAAUGUUCCUCGUGUUCCUCCUUGCUCUGUGAAUAAACCAACACGUCGUCAAUGAAUACCACGACGCACUGGUCCAACAACGGUCGAAAGACUCGAUUCAUCAAGUCCAUAAAUGCUGCCGGGGCAUUAGUAAGCCCAAACGGCAUUACCGUGAACUCGUAGUGGCCAUACCGCGUACGAUACGCCGUUUUGUGCACAUCCUUCGGCCGGAUCUUCAACUGAUGAUAUCCCGACUGGUCGAAUAGAUCAUCAAUCCUCGGCAACAGGUACUUGUUAUUGAUUGUCACUUUGUUCAACUCGCGAUAAUCCACGCAGAGUCGAAGUGUGCCAUCCUUCUUCUUUACAAAUAGCAUCGGAGCUCCCCACGGUGACACGCUCGGCCUCACAAAGCCUUUAUCGAGCAAGUCUUGCAAUUGAACUUUCAACUCUACUUGUUCCACCGACGCCAUUCUAUACGGAGCCUUUGAAAUUGGCGCCGCCCUGGGAACCAAGUCAAUGACAAACUCGAUCUCCCGGUCCGGUGGCAAUCCCGGUAACUCCGCCAGAAAUACAUCCGAAAAUUCACAUGCUACUCGGAUAUCCUCAAGUUUCGGGUGUUCCUUUUGAGCCUCUACCAUUGUUGCCAAAUAGGCCACACAUCAUCCUUUAAUCAUUUUCCUCGCCCACGCCGCUGAUACGGUCGCCGCGAAGCGCGAGCUUUUACAUACGCAGUAUACUAACUCCUCUUGAUUAGGCUCACGGAAAGUGAUCACCUUGCUCUCACAAUCAAUAACCGCAUAAUACUUGAAGAGCCAAUUGAUCCCCAAGAUUACAUCGAAGCCCCACAUUUGAUUUAGUACUAGCAAAUUUGCCGGCAUAAUCCAAUCACCUAUCUGAACUAGACAAGCCAAGCACUCCUCAUGAACACUAAAUGAAUGCUCUGGUGCAUUUACCCACCAAUAGUCCGGGUUAUAUAUCACUUUAAUGCCAUGAGUUUUUGCAAAUGAUGCACCAAUGAAUGAAUGAGAUGCACCUGUGUCAAAUAAAGCUCUAGCUCUAGUGCCUCUAAUCAAAAUAAUACCUGCCACGACACCAUCUUGUACUGCAGGCUGCUCCUCUACCUGAGUAGUGAAAACCCGUCCACUAGGUGCUUGUGAUCUCUUUGGCUGACGUGGUGCUGAUGCGCGUCGAGCCGACAUAGCCGGUGGUAACCUCGCAAGCUGCCUCGGGGAUGAAGGAACUGAUGCUGCCGUCGGUGCAGACGACGCCCAACCCGGGCACUCCCGGAUAAGAUGUCCCGAUUGGCCGCACUUGAAGCACUUUCCUUCUCGCUGUGGGCAAGUUGACUGUCGAUGCUCACUGCCGCAAAUAACACAUCGAGAAGGCCUCCAAUUCUUUGACUACUAUCGGGGAUACCGAGGGGGUUUCUUAGCAUUCGAUCGGCCCCCGGCACCACCCGCCGCUCGUUUCUUUCCUUUGUCCCUUUCCUUAUCCAUCGACUCACGCUCUCCACGAGCAUAGGUGCUACCGUGCUUCGCCCACAAGGCUCGAUCCAAAACCUCCGCAAAGGUUGUAAGCUUAAGGAUCUGAACCUUCUCAUAAAUCCUCGGCUGAAGCCCUCGCAAGAACCAAUCAGCCCGGUCCCGAUCAUCUCGAACAACAUUCAAGACACAAUCAAUAAUGUGGGAGAACUCCCGCUCAUACUCUCCCACAGUCCUAUCACCUUGCCUCAACUUGCGUAAUUUAUCUUGUAGCUUCCGCUUCUCGGUGUCAGGGAAGUAGUUCGCGAACAGUAGCCUUCAGAACUCCUCCCAAAGCAUAGGCGGAAGGUCGGAAGAUCGAUCAUGCUUUACACGCUUCCACCACACCUUCGCUGCCUUCUCCAAACAGUGAGUGGCGAGGUGCACCUUGUCUUUCUCCAAGGCAUAGAUAUUCUCGAAGAGCGUCUCAAUCGAGUCGAUCCACGACUCCACCAUCCAAGGCUCCACCUUUUUCCCGUCAAAAAUAGGUGGGUUGAACAUCUUGAACAUGACAAGAGCCGCAAAUGCAUGCUCCCGCUCCGCCUCUAUAGCCGCACCAUCGGGAUUUGAGGUUCCCGAACCGGCUGGCACCGCCGUGAUUGGCACAGCCGCCGCGGCCACGCCCUCCACCACAGCCGGCACCACUACAGGGGGCGCAGGGUGCUCGGCCCCCACUAGAGUCGCCGCCACCUGCUGCCGCUCUAAGGCCUCUUGGAGCCUUUGGAUUUGCUCUCCCUAACGUUGAACGGACUCCGCUUGUUGCCGCACCACUCCUAUAAGUACGGACACUUGCUCCUGAAGCUCCCUAUCGCCGCUCGCUCCGGAUUGCACGGGAGUCGCAGUCGGUUCCUUGGGCAUAGACCCGUUCGCGGUCUACCACGAGCCAUUGCUACCUGAAACGUAGCAACUCACAUUAGUUACUCAACCAAUAUACUCAAACAUACCCAAUCCGGCGAAAGCAAACAAGUGUAUUUAUUGUCAUUCCAAAGCAUAAUGUCGUCGGCCGCCCAACACAACACAAGGAGUAGAGAACAAAUAUCAACUUGGAUUAGCCCCUAACCACAUUAGAGACUUAGUAACAUCACCCAAUCUCAAAGCUUUCGCUAUACUAUGGUUCCACAUCACUCACGUCCCCUAGGUCCUUAAGUUUUUCCAUUCCUAAGGGUCUCUAGGUCCAUUCCUACACUUUCACUUUUAGGCUUUGAUACCACUAUAUCUGUCACGCCCCGCGAUCGGACCUAGUUGGUCGGUUCGGGCACGCCAAACAGACGCCGAAUAGACAACACCUCCUAUAUCCGCCCAAGGCUCAACACAAGUACAAAUAAAGAAGAUAUAUUGCACAUGCGGAAACAUACAUACAUGGCUUGCACGAGGGCAAGCAGUAGCCAAAGUGAAAGAUUCUAAACUAACAAUAUACAAGUAACAUGAUUAACUUUUAACCAUAUACAUGCAUUCAACUUAUACAUUUACAUUCUUUUCUCUAAACAUCAUUUCUUCUCAUUACAUCACAUGAUCUUCCAAAAUAUGCCUUUUCAUUCAAACAUAAGCUCUCUUUAUAUUUAACCAUCGUUCAUACAUUUAUAAUCAUCAAAAUACAAAAGAUGAUACAUAAGGGGUAUGCAACUAAACAAAAUAAAACCCACUCUGGUGGUCACUGUCUAUGGCACGAUACCUUUUAUUGCGAUCGUCGGCCGGUUCACUCGGUCCCGGCUAUGUGGAAAUAGUAGGGUGAAAACUACAACAAAGUUCCCAGUGGGUUCGGCCACCGACAUCGCCAACUUCCCACUAGGUCUAAAUCAGGCAUAAUAGAAGAAUAGAAAGGUAGUAACCAACAGUACAAAUACAGCUAAUAUACCUGAACAAUAUAUAAUCAAUGAUAUGCUCAAAUAGAAUGCUCAUGAUGAAUGCAAGAUCACAUUUCCUUUAUCCAAUCUCUUGGCUAACCCGUGGGUUUGCCUAUGACUCACCAACUCAUAAUCCCAAACAUUGGGGAGACUACUACGACCCGACGGGACCGUCCUUUCACGCCCCGAUCCCCGCCAAUUUGGUUGGAUUCGGGUCAUAUCAACAGACGCCGAACGGACAGCAUCUCCCCUGUCCGCCUAAGGCUCAAACAACAAGUAUAAUUAAGCAAACAACAAAGAGAUUUUGUAAUUAUACAAGGCUUUCACGAGGGCAAGCAACAACGGAAGCGAAAGCUCUAAGCUAAACAUACAACCAUACAUGAUAUUUAAUUAAAUUUAAACCAAAUACAAGUGAACUAAAACUAUUACAUCUUUUCCAUUCAACCAUAAUAUCUUUACAUUUUAAUCAUUCUUCAAAAAUAUAUGAAUUGUUUACAACUUUAACAUUUAUAAGUCAACAAAGGAAAGUUGAUAUAUGUACACAAAAGGGAAUGACUAAAUGCAUAACUCCGGUGGCCACUAGCUAUGGCGCAAUACCCUUGCCACGGUCCUCCGCCGCCCCACUCGUGCUCGGACUUCUAGGGUGUGUGAGAACUACAACGAAGUUUCCAGUGGAUUCGGCAACCGACCUCGCCGACUUACUCACUAGGUCUAUUCAGGCAUAAGUAUUUCAAAGAAAUGGAAAAGUAACCAAUACUAAUGCUAAUACUAUGCCUGCAAGAAAACUGGUCAAUAACAGAUAAUCAUAUAUAUGAUGAUAUGCAUGCUUGCUUGUUCAAUAACUUUACCUUUGCUUUUACCCAAUCAUGCCGGUUAACCUUGUUAACCCCAAUAACUCACAACCCAAAGUCCCAUAAUAAUGGGGGACUCGAACCACCCUACGGACCGUCCUCUGGGGGGACUUUACCAUGCCCAGUGGUGACCAGCUCCGGAGCGCACUACCCGAGGGAGAGCUACCACCCUCGAGCUAAGACUUAUCGUGAGUAUCGAUCCAAUCCUCAACUUGAGGAUACUUAGCCACUAGUCACAAUGCCAUUGUCAUAAUAGGCUUCUACCUAUUUGUUCAUGCUAUUUUCCAAGUCAUACUUGUCAUAAUGCCACUAUAGUUAAACUAUAUUUAACAACCCAUUUCUCAAUGCCAAUCAUGUCUCUAGUGUCGAUGUCACCUUUGUUUACUAUUGUCCAAGUCCAAAUGUCACAUUCAUGCAACUUUAGGGUUCUAUCAUACAUGUCCAUUAUGGUUCUUGUUCAAUCACUAUGUUCAUAUACGUUAGAAGCAAAUAUUAAAAUUCUAACCACUAAUCACAUGUCAAAACACCCUAUCAUGCAUGAAUGGUUUCUAUACAUAAAUAUGCUAAAAAAAUAUGAAAUAGACAUGAAGGGGAAUCCGAUGAUUCCGGCGUGCACCCCCCACCUUAAAUAUUGUAGAUGGGUUGUAGUUCGACUCUCGGGAUUUUAGGACGCCUCUCCCGUGACCUAAACCCAAAAUAAAGCCAAAUUAGGCCCUAUAUACAAGAUCUCAUACUUAGACUUUUCGUAACGUUAAACCGAGCGCACCAACGCGUCGGAAACACCCCAAUUAGGUUUCCAAAAGGUCAAUUUGCCUCGGAAACAACCGGAGGCAAAAGCCCCGAUUUCCAAGCCCUAACAAUGCCAUAAUUAAAUUUCCUCUAGAUUGAUCUCAUCUCUAAGCAAAUAAUAGCUUAGAAUCAUCUAGAAAGCUCUCUAAUAUCAUUUCCCAGCUAUUGGAACCAUUCAUAGGGCAUCUAACAUGAUCCCUAAUUAACUACCAUGGGAGCACCUUGAGAAAACCAUGGUUUUCAUGGUGUUCUAAGCUCUAGAGGGUUUCUAAGCUUAUUAGAGGAUCAAAACUCCAAAACUUAAGGUUUAAAACCAAACCUUAGCGUUCUACUUGCAAGAGAACUCACCUUGGCCCAAGCUCUUCCAAGUCUUCCUUGUUGGAGAACCACAAAAUCCACCAAAGUCUCCAAAACCCACUUCUCCACCUUCUUCUCCUUCUUCUUCUCCUUCUAGAGAGAGAGAGAUAUGAGAGAGUGAGAGAGGGAGGGAAUGAGAGAAAAGAGCUCUCAUCACCCUAUACAUAACCCAUUCAAUGCACAAUUGCAUUUAAGCUCUCAACAUGUUGCCUCUCACACUGCCCAGACUGGGCAUUUUUCGGGUACGGGGACCGGUCUCUCUAACAGGGGACCGGUCCUCGAGAGCACCCUUUGCAGUUUAUGCAGCCGGGGUCUGGUCUCCCACUAAGGGACCGGUCUCACGGGGACUGAUCUUUCCCCGCAGAGACCGGUCCCCGAGAGCAAAACUCUCAGGACUCAGCUGUUGGGGCAAUUCUUGCUUACGGGGACCGGUAUCUCCCCACAGGGACCGGUCCCCGAGAGCUAAACCCUCAAGACUUAACCAAAUUUUCUUUCUUCUCACUGGUUGCGCGUACGGGGACCGGUCUCUGCUUCAGGGACCGGUCCCCGAGAGCAGAAAACCUGUAGUUUGCAGAUUUUCGCCCACAAUGCUCUCGAAGACCUACUACAAUGCACUUUUGCCCUUUUUGACGCCUUCGGCUAUUCCGAAGCGUACCAACCUCACACUUUGGUUAUUUUGACUAAAGUUUGAUAUUCGCUUACCGAGUUUCAAUAUGAUACACGUCCUCUGGAGAACAGCACCAACCCAGUGAUGAUAACUUCGGAGCUUAUCGCUUGAGGGGGUGCUACCACCCUCAAGCCAGGACUUAUAGACGAGUAUAAUCCAAUUCUUAACUAUAAGGGUGCCAAGUUCAAUCGAAUCCUUAACUAUAAGGAUGCAAUGCUCAUAUAACCCUUAACUAUAAGGUUGUUACGUCAUAAUGUCCACUAUGUCAUUUACUUGCAUUCUUUAACUUUCAUUGUGCCACACACACUAAGUGUUCUUUCUAGCAUUCAAUACUCAUUAAUGCCACUCUUUUAACACUAGCAUUCAUGACUCUUUAAUGACACUCUCUAGGAGUUCAUCUCUAGCAUUCAAUGCAUUCAUUAAUGCCACACAAUACAUAUGUCAUAAUGUCAUUUUGUUCUUUACCUCAUCUAGGUUCUUUGCCCUUUUCUAGGUUCGUGUCAUCUUUCAUGCAAACAUAGGGUUUUACAAGUUCUCAUUAGUUUACAAUCAUCUCAUAUGCAUUUGUACUUACAACAUGCAACAACAAACUCUCAAUCGCCCUACAAUGCAUGAAAAAAGCUAUAGUCACAUAUGCUAAAAAAUGACACUUUAGACAUAAAAGAAAAUUCAUCGAUUUCAGAAAGCACCACCCACCUCGUAUGGUUACUUAGAUGUUACGGUUCAAUUCUCGUGAUUUUUUGACGCUUAUUUUCUCGCUUGCGGCAAAACGAAGCCAAAUUAGGCUUUUUCUCGAAUAUCUUUACAUAGACUUGUCGGAUCAUUGAACCGAGUCCACCAACAAGUUGGAAAUACCCCAAAUUUGGUUUCUAUAAGGUCAAUUUGCCUUUAAACCAUCCUAGGACAAAAGUCUCAAUUUUGGUGCCCUAACAAUGUCACAUAGUAAACAUACACCAUAUUGAUCUCUAUGCUAAGCAGAAGCAAGCUUAACAUCAUCUAGAAACUCAUCUAGAAUAAUUUCUAGGUCAUCUAAACCAUUCUUAGGGCAUAUAACACAAACCCUAAAAUUCCACCAUGAGAGCUCAUGGAGAAACGUGCGUUUUUCAUGGGUUCUGUGGUCUCUACAAGGUUUCCCAUCAUGUAAGAGGCUCAAAAUCAAAAGAUUUAGGGCAUAAAACGAAGCCCUAACAUCAAUUUUAAAAGAAACAUCACCUUAGCCUAAAAGCUCACCAAGCUACAUGUCACGCCCAGCCCCGAAACCACUACCAAUUUGGCACGAUUCGAGCGCGGCGGCGGACCGCCGAACGGACAGCACCUCCCCUGUCUGCCCAAGGCUCACAACAUGAAUGUGUACAAGAAUUUUCCAGAAAUUUAAAUUCUAAACAUACACAUUCAAUGGGGCACAACUAGUGCCAGCAACUACAAGAGCAAGUAAUCCACAGAAUAACAUGUGAAAUAAAGAGAGUACUUUACUAACUAUUACAAUAGUUUUGCAUCUUUUCAUUUACAUUAUUUUCUUUAAAUGAAUACAUUUUUCAUCCAAAAUACAUAGCUCUCCAAAUCCUCACCUACAAUGAAUCUCUCUCAGUACAUAGAUGUGCUAAUGCAAAAAGAAAGCUACUAUACUACCACGGUCUCACUGAUCGGGCGCGAUGCCCUUGCUGCAGUCCUCUCUCGGCAACCCUGUACCUACCACUGGAAAUAGAGUGGGGUGAGAACUAUCUUUCAUAGUUCCCAGUGGGCUCGGCCGCCGACUUUGUCGAUCUCCCCACUAGGUCCAAGUGGGCACAAGUAAUAACAGAUAGAUAGAUAGAUAUGUAUCUGAAAACUGUAAAUGCGAUAGUAGGAAAAUUAUGCUACUAUGCCCAUAAUCAUGAAUAUGAAUGCAUGCUUCAUAUAAUAAAAGGUUUGCUACCAUACUAACAAAUUCGAUCCAUGUUCGAAUAGUAAUGUUCAAUGACAUUUUUAAACCUUUAACUUUCCAUUUACCCAAUCUGUGGUGAGGCCCUAGGGCUCGCCUAUAAGUCACCUUUCAAUCCCAAAGUGGGGAGGGAGCUCCAAGUGCACCCAAGCUCGGGACCGUCUGCGGACCUCUAUGUGGUUCGGACCUCCAAGUGGUCCUAGUCACGCGACACUCCGGAGUACUCGACGACAAUCCCCUCCAUGUGAGGAUAGGAUAGCUAUACCACCCCAAAAGCAGACUGUGAGCUAGAUCUAUCCUCUCCAAGUGAGGAUACCCUACAACUAGGGUCAACAACCCAAUCAAGUCCUCUCCAAGUGAGGAUGCUCUACAACUGGAGUCAACAACCCAAUCAAAUCCUCUCCAAGUGAGAAUGCUCUAUGAACUAGGGUCAACAUCUCUCGCGGAAUCAUCUGUUUCUUAUAUCCAUGUAAUGCUAUUUAGCUUUUCUAAAUUCAUUGUUCACAAGGCAUUUUCUAAGGGAUCUACCUAUCCCUAGGUCCAUCGACCUCUAGUGUCAUUUACACUACAUUAAUGCCACUCGUUAUUCUUUAACUUUGGAUGCCGCUCGUUAUUCUUUAACUUUAAACACUACUUUCUAUGUCACCAACCCCCAUCGGGUUCAUCUCUUCUCUUUCGCAUCAUAGGAUCCACGUUCCGACCCAAUCCUCACCUAUCUAAGUUACCAAGCAUUCCAAGUACACUAAGUUAUCAAUCAGAAAGCAUAAGAAAAGGUACUACUAUGCAAUCCUACAAUGCAACAUGCAAGAGAUGAAGUUAAAUGCAAUCUAAGACAUAGAAAGGAGUUCGAAAGCUUUGGUAUGGCACCUCCCACCUUUUACCGAUGUAGAGGCUUCAGAAAUGAUCCUCGGCGAACUUUACGAAGAGGCUUUAGCCUUACUUGGUCCAAGACAAUGCUAGAUCGGCCGUAUUUCGCCGAUAGCUUCAAUCCCACUCGACGAAUCGCAAAAUCGACUUCGCCCUCGCAUUUUGUGACCUAGCAAUUAGGUUUCCAAGGCCUCAAAUAAGAUCAAUCUCAUACUUUCUCAAAAACCCCAUUUUGGGUGCCCUAGGUUUGCACCUAUAGCAAACCAUCAAUAAAUCUCGAGAUUCUUGGGAUUGAUCUACUUAGAAGCAUGCUUAGGGUCUAUUUGACCCAUUCCAAAGUAUCCAAACCCAAAACCCUAAGUUUUAGAAGCUAGGGUUUGUAGCUUACCUCUUGAGCUACACCAAAGAGAAGAGGAGAGGGAGAUGAAGGUGUCCAAGGCCUUCCUCUUGAUCUCCUUCUUCUUCUCCUUCUUGUUCUUCUUCUUCUUUUCAUUCCUCUCCUUCUUGUUCUUCUUCUUCUCCUUUCUUUUCUAGAGAGAGAGAGAGCAAGAAAGUGUGAGAGAGGGAAAGAGAGUAUGAGUAAGGGUGAGAGAAAGGAAGAGGGCUCAGCCCCUCUAAUCCCCCCCUAACUAAUGCCAUUUUGCAUAAAAACCCCUCAACUUUUCCAUCCUUGCACAGCCUUUACUGGGCAGAAUUCGCGCAGAGGGACCAGUCUCCCCGACCUGGGACCAGUCCCCGAGAGCUUCCCUCGGGCGCACACGUUCGGGUACCGGUCUCUCCUCGGGAGACCGGUCCUCGAGAGACCGGUCCUCGCCUGAGAGACCGGUCCCCGAGAGCCCGAUUUUCAGGACUUAGCCAAAUUUCAGCAUUUCUCGCUGGGACCACGUUCGGGAACCGGUCCAUCCCUGCCAGGGACCGGUUGCAUCACGCAACCCCGCUACACCCAGCCGAUGGAACCGGUCACUCACCUCCAGAGACCGGUCCCCAAGAGUAAUCUCAGUCCAAUGAUGCAGUUUGCACCAUUUGCUCUCGUGGACUCCACUCCAAGGCACUUUUUGUGCUUUGGACAUCUUUAACUUCCCCAAAGGGUAUUCUCUCGACAAAUUGUUGAUCCUUGACGAAGUACAACACUCGGAUUUUGAGAAUUCACUUCCUUACAUCCUUCCCUCCUUAAAAGGAGUUUCGUCCUCGAAACUAACUCAAUUCUUUACUUUAACUUAAACCCAUACCUUACUCCUCGAAUAGAUGAGGAUGGUGCUUUCUCAUUAGAUCCUCGAGUUCCUAGGUGGCCUCGCGAUCAUCGUGAUUGCUCCACCUAACCUCACAUAGGGAAUUUCUCGAUUUCUCAACUUUCGCACCUCUCGGGCGAUAAUCCCUAUCGAAAACUCUUCAUAGCUCAAGUCUCCUUGAAAUUCCGGCGGUUCAUAUAGCAUCGCAUACUCGGGGUUGUGAAUAUACUUGCGGAGAUUGGAGACAUGGAACACAUUAUGUACAUCCGCGAGCUUCGGCGGUAAGGCGAGUCGAUAAGCCACCGUGCCAACUCACUCCAAUAUUUCAUAGGGUCCAAUAUAUCGGGGACUUAAUUUUUCCCGCACUCCAAACCGCUUCACACCCCGCAUCGGUGAAACCUUUAAGAAUACGCGGUCACCCACCGCGAACUCUAUAUCUCGUCGGCGCCUAUUCGCAUAGCUUUGCUGUCUUGACUGCGCCGUGAGCAAUCUCUUGCGAGCAAGGCGGACUUUCUCCUCCGCUUCUUACAGAACAUCGGGGCCGAACUCUGCACGCUCACCCACAUCGCUCCAGUGUAUAGGAGAUCGACACGUCCGCCCAUAGAGAGCCUCGAACGGUGCCAUCUCCGCACUAGCAUGAUAACUAUUGUUGUAGGCGAACUCGGCUAUAGGUAGGUGGUCACACCAACAUCCCUUAUAGUCGAUGACAUACGCUCGCAACAUGUCCUCCAGAGUUUGGAUGGUUCUCUCUGUUUGUCCAUCAGUCUGAGGAUGAAAUGCUGUGCUAAAGUCGAGCCGUGUGCCAAGGGCUUCCUGCAGGCUCUUCCAGAAGUGUGAAGUGAAUCGGGGGUUGCGAUCCGACACAAUCGAUUUCGGCACACACAGUCUCACUAUCUCGUCGAGGUAUACCUGCGCUAACUUGUCACCCGACCAUGUGGUGUGGAUCGGCAAGAAGUAAGCCGACUUCGUCAAUCGGUCCACAAUUACCCAAAUUGCAUCGUGGCCGCCCGUUGAACAGUGCAAAGUGUACCGAAAUUGAACAUUUCGGAUAUAUAUGUGAUACGGUUUUGAUGCAUUAUUUUCAGCAGGAGUGGGGCCUCGUGGGGCUGAUUUUGGAACCCUUGUAAACUGAGUUGGAGCAUAGUACUAGGUGGGUUUGACCUAACCAGAGCAAGUGAAGCUCCCCUAUGUUCUAUAUGUUACUAUAGAAUUGGUAUAGUUGUGCGCUUUUGUAAUAAUUGUGAUUGGUAAAGUAUUUGGAACUUGUUGCUAUAAUGUUUAAUGUAAUUGAAAUAGAACCUCUAUAAAGUAGAGAGUAUUUAUGCAUAAAAGUAUUAGUGCAUAAACAUAUUCUUGUUUAGUUCAGUAGAACAACCAAGAGAUAACUUUCUUAUGCUCUUUAAAGUAAAGAACAAUGGCACUCUCUUGACUCUAAAAUAGAGAACAAUGACAAGCUUUAUGACUAUAUUGAUAGUGCCAUGAUAGUGGAAAGUUCCUAAUGCCAUAUGUUAAUUAGCAUUACUCUCACAUGCUUACUAAUCUAGUGGAUACUAGUUUUUGUCAAUAUUUAUUAUAUUGAGAUUCCGAUCAAAGAAUCGAGAGCGAGAACAUUGCAAGUUGGAAAGUGGUGACUGAGACAUAAUGGGUUAUGAACUUGCUUGCUGCCAUUGUGCUCAUUCGCACACGCUUGUGAGGGUCGCUCCCUAUAAGCCGGCACUCCGGAGUUGGCCUACGCGACAGUUGCUCGCCCGUGCGGGAUUGGGUGCCGAAGUGGAUUGCCGUGGGGAGUGUAUACUACCACGGGGCCAUUAGGCACGGCGCAAGCUGGACUACCUUGGGUAGGUCCUUAUGAAUGAAAUGAAAGUACUAAAUGACAAAGGACAGUAAUGAAUGCUCAUCAGUUAUAGUGUACAGUAUUUACUUACACAUCCAUGUUUAUGUUCAUAUUUAUAAUAAUUGCCAUGCUUAUUCAGUUGAUUCAUUACUGCAGAAAUCUUGAUUACAUGUUGAUUACAUGCGUACUGCUUGCUAGCAUUGCAUAUAGAUAUCAUGCAAUUAUCGCUUUUAUUUUCAUUUAGUACAUCAUGAGCCUAGUGGUGUAAUUCGCCGAGGCUGGCGGCUUACCCACUGGGAACUAUUGUUAAUAGUUCUCACGCCCUUUUUGUGGUUGUUUUUACAAAGCCAUCUACAGGAGAGGCUAGGGAUCGUGGCAAGGGAGUCGCGUCUAGCUAGACAUUGCUAGGAGCGUGCUAGUCGAUCACCUUGCUACUCGGGCUACGGCCGAGGGUGAUGUCCUGUGUAUAGAGAGACUACCAUUGUACAGAUGUUUUGGUGUUGUCUAUGAUGUAUAUGAGUAUUGGAUCCAAAUGUUAUAGUUUUAGUAUUUUCUUUUGUACUUAUAUUUUGAGUUGGACCCUCUUGUUCUUUUAUUGACAGUAUUGGGAACUUAUACUUUGCUCUGAUAUCAGGAUAGGAUUUUUCUAUAUUUUUCUCCUAUCGCCUUGCUUUCUUAUAGACGCCUUAUAUACUGUAGGAGUAUGGCUGGUCUGUGCACGUACCGGAUAUGCUUCCGCUGGUACCCGGGCGUGACAAAUACAUGUCGACGAUCUAUAUACUUAGAAGAUAACCGACGAUUAACCAACCUCAAAAGCUAAUCCUAAUCAGGCGCGACGUCGAGAACGGCGGAAUCGCACCCUCGCCCGGCCUCCUCGCGUUGUUACGACGACGAACGCACCCUCGAAAGGCACUGCGGCGCGACGUCAGCGAAACUCCAACACCACCCGAGCUCCUCCACAAUCGAUCAAGCUAGAGAGAGAGAGUGAAGGAAGCAGGGAAAACAAUCUCUCUCAGCUCUCCUCAUACCUGUAUAUAGUUGGGGGAGAGGGGUGACACGUACGAGGCAUGGCAAAGACUAAUUUGCCCCUCACCUACCCUGGUGUACCGGUACACGGGUAGUUGUACCGGUACAAAUGGCAACCUGAGAGCAGCUGCGUAAAAAUCUGGCGAAGUGUACCGGUACGCCCUGCUGGUUGUACCGGUACAGAAAGUGUACCGGUACGCCUUGAUGGUUGUAUCGGUACGCUUUGAUGAUUGUACCGGUACAACAAGCAAAAAAUCUGCAAUUUGCAGAUUCCCAAAGCUAAGUCCUGCUUUCGCGUCCCCGCUGAGUCUUUUUUGCGUCUAUUUCGCGUCAGCACGACUCGGACUUGUCCCGACACUCUCCAGAGCUGUCGACAAGCCUCUACUGCUGUACACCAGGGAUACCACAGCUAAGCCCCCCCCCCGCCCACACAAAUUUUUAUAAUUUGUAUGAUAGUUCUUUUUAUAUAAAAAAUUUUAAAAAUAUAUUUUUAUUUAAUUUUAAAAGUAUGAUGAGUAAUCUGAUUGUUUUUUAGAAAAAUUGGCGCUAAUAUAAUGCUCUCUCAGCUCUGAGUUUAUUUAUUUAUUUUUUAUUUAGUACCUUCAUAACUUCUAAUUUUUUUAGAUACUUUUUUUAUUUAAUUAAAUUAAAGUUUAUAUUAAAGUUAAUAGUUCUGUCAACUAAUAGUUAUUUAUUGUCACAAUUAUAUUUAGUAAAAAUUAAGAAAUUAAAUUAUUCACUGAAUUAUUAUUAGAUUUAAUAUAUUUCAAAAUUAUUUUAGUGAAAUAAUAUAAAUAAAUAAUUAGAAGUUAAGUAAAUAUAAAUAAAAAAGGGAUAAUGUUUUUUUACACUAAUUAUUUAGUCAAUAUAUUUUUCAUCAAAAAUUGACUAGGUAAAUUUUGUUUAUUUGCUAAAAUUUUGAUUUGUAUGUAUUUUUGGCCCCCCUCAUAAUCGAGUGCUAGCUUCAUCCCUGCCUACAGGUGAUGUUGUUGUUGUGAUGUUUGCUUGAUGGUUUGUAUUUCGACCUAUAUUAGAGACUUUGUUUGCCGGUGCAAGCUCCGGACAAAGUUUUCUAAAGUAUUAAUAAGUUUCCGAUGUACUCUGAUUUAAAAAAUUAGAAAUAAUUUUAAAAAUACUUAAAAAGGGGGGUGCGGGAGCGCAAUAAAAAUAUAAAAAAACUUGCACCAAUACCAAAAGAGAUCUUGGUAGUAAUUUUUUUUCUACUUUCAUUAAAGAUUAUAUAUAUAUAGAGAUCUCAUGGCUACUAUACUCUUUUGAGUAGACCCUUUUGUACUCAUAAGUUUUCAACCGUUUGAUGAAAAGAUGGGCAAUUAUGAUGAUAGUGGUCUCUGAUUAGGAUAAUAGUAGUCCCCUAGAAUUGAGUGGGUGAUUAGUUGAAUAGUACGAUCGAACAGAUAAAAAUAGUCAAAGGGGUAGAUCUAAUGGCGGAAAACUUCUGAGUAUAAAGGGGCUUAUACUCAUAAGAGUGUGUGUAUAUAUAUAUAUAUAUAUAUAUAUAUAUAUAUAUAUACUAGUUAAGUGCACGUGCAAUGCACGUCGCACAAAUACUAAAAAAUAAAAUUUUUAUAAAUAAAUAUUAUAGAUUCGAUAUAUAGUAUUUAAUCAUUACCAAAAUAAAAUGAUAGAAAUAAGAAAUAGAAUUACAAUAUCAUCAAAGAAAGAACACAGAAUCCAUCAUGAUAUCAUUGAAAAAAAAAUACAAAAUCCGUCACUAAACUAACUGAAAAUGUCACCAUCAGUCUCCCUUCCGUACAAAUUACACUGAAAGUAAGAAAAAUAAUAAAGUAAAUAUUAGUAAAUCAUCAGAAUAGAUAAAAUUAAUAAAAAAUAUAAAUUUAAUAAGAAUUCAUAUAAGUAAAAAUUUUUAACUUCAUUUUAUUUCUUGAGUUUUUGGAAUAGGUGGAUUAAGCACAAUUUUACUAGCAAAACUUUGCUAAAUAAAUUGAUUCUGAUAAAUAAAUUUAAAAUACUACAAAAAAAUAAAAUAUUAAAAAGUAUAUUUAUCCUAAUUAUCGAUAUUAACGUGCACUGCUUUAAUACAACAAUUAAAUUGUUUGCAAUAGCGUCUCUCCAUAUGCCAAUGUGUGUUAGCAUUAUCUUGUCCUAAAGAAUCAAUCUAGUUCGAUUCAUGUUUCAAUCCAUCUAAAUAAUUAGUUAUUAAUAAAUUUUUCAUGUCAAUGUGUGUUAGCACUAUAUUGUCCUAGCGGAUCAAUCUAAUCCAAUUUAUGCUUCAAUCCAUCCAAAUAAUUAGUUAUUAAUAAUUUUUUUCAUGCGAAAUGAUAAAAAGAGAAACACUUUACCUUCAAGUUUAGGACGAUUAACACCAGACAAAUAAAGAGUAAUUGAUUUGGACAACUAUUCCUACAACACCUAAGAAAACUGAAAUAGUAUAGAAGUUAGUAGUAGUAUAGAAAGUGGCGAAGGCGACAAUGUGUCGGCGUCGAUGACGACGAUAACGAUGAGGAAGAUGAUGACGAUAUUCUAGUACGGACAAUGAGGACAAAUGAGAAAUAAUAUUACUAAAAAAAUAUUUGAGAAUAUUUGAGAAAAAUAUAGGUAAAAAUAAAAAAGAAUAUUACUAAAAAAGUAUAUGUUUUAUAUUUGAAAAACAUAUAGGUAAAAAUGACAAAAUACUAAAAAAAAAAAAGCUAAAAUAGCAUAGAGGCACAUUACAAAAAAAAAAAAUUCAGAUGAAAUCAAAAUACCUCUGCAAAGGGGAAAAUGUGCCGGCGCCAGUAAUGUGAUGAUGUAACGGUGUCGACAACAGAGAUAAAUAAAAAAGGAUAUUAUUAAAAUAAUAUUUGAGAAUAUUUAAGAAAAAUAAUAGCAAAAAUGAAAAAAAAAAUAUUACUAAAAAAAUAUAUGCUUUAUAUUUGAGAAAUAUAUAAGUGAAAAUGAGAAAUACUAAAAAAUACUAAAACAGUAUAAAAAUAUAUUAAAAAAAAAAUUUUCAGAUAGGAUCAAAAUACCUCUUCAAUUGUGCAAAGGCGGCGAAAGUAGCGAAGGCGAUAAUUUGUCGGCGCCGGUGAUGAUGAUGACGAUGAUGACGACGAUGUACUAGUGCCGACAAAUGAGAAAGUAUAUUACAAAAAAAAAAAUUAAAAAAAAUUUAAAAAAAAAUAGAUAAAAAUAAAAAAAUAUAUAUUAGUAAAAAAUAUAUACUUUAUAUUUAAUAAACGUAUAUGUGAAAAUAAAAAAAAUAAAAAUAAAGAUAUACUAAAACAGUAUAAAGGUACAUUAAAAAAAAAAAUUUCAGAUGGAAUUAAAAUACCUCUUUAAUUAUAACGAAGGUGGCGAACGCGACAAUGUUCCGGCACAAGGCAAUGAUGAUGAGUAGGACGAUGACGAUGUACCUCUGUAACAAAUGAGAAAAGAUAUUACUAAAAAAAAUUUGAGAAAAAUAUAGAUAAAAAUAAAAAAGGAUACUACUAAAAAAAUAUAUAUUCUUUAUAUGUAAGAAACGUAUAGGUGAAAAUGAAAAAAUACUAAAAAAGAUAUGCUAACAGAAAAGAUAUGAUGUAUAUAUUAUGUGAAAAAUAUUAUGAUGAGAUAAGAUUGGUUAGCGUAGAUAUUAUAUGUAAGGGUAUUAAGAUAUAUUCUAUAUUUGAGAAUGCGGAGAAUAUUUUGGUGGGUAUUAUUUAAAUAUCGAAUAUUUUGCUAAAAAAUUUAAAAUUAUAUUUAAUUAACGAUUUAGUUUUGAUUGGACAAAUAUUAAUUUUUUUUUAGAAAUAUUCUAUGCCUUUAUGACGCAUUAUUUAAAUAUUGAAUAUUUUGCUAAAAAUAUUUAAAAUUAUAUUUAAUUAACGAUUUAGUUUUGAUUUGGGGUAUUAAAUUUUUUUAGCAAUAUUUAACACUUCUAUGGCGCGCCAAAUUUUAAUACUCGUCAAAAUUAAAUCUACUAUCUUAUGUAAGGAAAAAUCUACUAUCAUGAAUUAAAAUUCAAAUUAUCAAAUUCACGGGUAUUAAAUUUUGGCCGUCAUUACAAAUUUAAAAUUUAAUUUUGGUAGGUAUUACAUUUGAGAAAAAAAAUAUUUGAGAAAAUGCUUGGAUAGAAAAUAAAUUUAGCGGAGGUAUUACGUUAGAUAAGAGAUAAAUUUAGUUUUCCGUAUUAUGGAUAGAAAAAAAUAUUUGAGUAACAUAGAUAGUAGAUAACGGAUAUGGAUAAUAUUUUUGUCAACAAAAAUAAUAGAUACUUUUAUUUUUAUUCGUUGGAUAAGAUCCAAUAGCGAAAACUUAAAUCUAUAUUUGAGAAUAAAUUAUUAUUUGAAGAUUUAUUUAAAAUGGAUAAAAUAUAUUUUAUAUUUGAGAACGCGGAGAAUAUAUUGGUGGGCAUUAUUUAAACAUUAAAUAUUUUGCUAAAAAUAUUUAAAAUUAUAUUUAAUUAAUUUUUAGUGAUUAGCAGAGGUAUUACGUGAUUGGCGGGUAUUACGUUAGGUUAGAUAAGAGAUAAGUUUAGUUUUACGUAUUACAUGAUUGGUUGGUAGAAAAAAAAUAUUUGAGAAACGCGGCGUAGAUGGGAGAUAACGGAUAUAUAUGUAGGGUAUUUUUGUCAACAAAAAUGACAAAUACUUUUAUUUUUAUUCGUUGGAUGAGAUCUAAUGGCGAAAACUUAAGAUCUAUAUUUGAGAAUAAAUUAUUAUUUAAAGAUUUAUUAAAAUGGAUGGUUGAAAAUGUCUGGACAUGACAAUAUUAGUAAAAAAGAUAGAGACAUUUUUGGAAAGGGAAAAAAUUCAAAACUCAGGUUUCUAUAAAUAGUAUAGAUAUAGAUAGUAUAGAUAAAUUAAUGUGUUAUAUUUUAUUAGAAAAUAUUUAUAAUAUCCUACCGUGUUCUUUUAUUUAUAUACAUCGAACAUUUUUAUAUACUUUUUGAUUUUUGAUGAAUUAAAUUUAAAUAUGUGUUUUAAACUAAAAGCAUAAAAAUUUAAUUUACAUUUAAUUUAAAAUUUAAAAUUUAAUUUUGAUCCACUGUAAUAAACAAAAUUAAUUAUUAAUUCAAAUUUGAUAUCAAAAAUUAAAUUUAAUUCAUAAUUUAAACUCAAUUUUUAAUUUUAAUGUAAAAUAGAUUAAUAGAAAUGCUAUUUUUUAACAAAUUUAUUAUAACCGUUUGUUUUAAUUUGAGAUAUUUUUUAACAAAUUGAUUAUAAUCAUUCAUAGGAGUGAAUUUAUAGAUGGAUGCGAAUGCUAUUUUUUAAUAGAUUGAUUAUACCUGUUCUUAUUUGAGAUUUUUUUUAACAAAUUGAUCAUAACCAUUUAUAGGGAAUAGAUUUUUAUAUGUAGUAGAAAUUUAAUAAAUUGAUCAUAACCGUUCGUUUUUAUUUGACAUAUUUUUAACAAAUUAAUCAUAAUUAUUCGUAAGGAAUAUUAUUUUAUAUUUAAUAGAUUGAUCAUAACCGUUAAUUUUUAUUUGAGAUAUUUUUAACAAAUUAAUCAUAACCAUUUAUAGGGAAUAUUAUUUUAUUCCUUUUUGAAUUCCGUCUGUCAUUGUCGGAAUUCCUAUACGUUUAUAUAUAUAUAUAUAUAUAUAGUUGGUCUGGAAUACUAUUAAUAGCAAAAAGUCUUUUUUGCCAUCAAAUUUUUAACGCUUAGAUGAAAAAUUAUAAGGUUAGAAUGAUAUUAAUCCCUUAGGGUUGAGUGGUCCCCCUAGAGUUGAGUGGUCCCCUACCACACGAGCACAGCGAAAAUAGGAUCUUUCGUAGACAUAAAAAAUGAGAACGAUCGUAGAAAAAUAAGCACGCGGAUAACAAAACAAUAAGGAAAAUAAGAAAUCACAAGAAUACAAGAUUUACGUCGUUCGGCCAACCUUGAAUCGACCUAUGUCUACG
rnacentral:lncRNA from 1 species